rnacentral:rRNA from 1 species
CCUACGGGUGGCUGCAGUGAGGAAUAUUGGUCAAUGGGCGCGAGCCUGAACCAGCCAAGUCGCGUGAAGGAUGACGGCCCUACGGGUUGUAAACUUCUUUUGUAAGGGAAUAAAGUGAGGCACGUGUGCCUUUUUGUAUGUACUUUAUGAAUAAGGAUCGGCUAACUCCGUGCCAGCAGCCGCGGUAAUACGGAGGAUCCGAGCGUUAUCCGGAUUUAUUGGGUUUAAAGGGAGCGUAGAUGGGUUGUUAAGUCAGUUGUGAAAGUUUGCGGCUCAACCGUAAAAUUGCCAUUGAUACUGGCAGCCUUGAGUACAGUUGAGGUAGGCGGAAUUCGUGGUGUAGCGGUGAAAUGCUUAGAGAUCACGAAGAACUCCGAUUGCGAAGGCAGCUUACUAAACUGCCACUGACAUUGAUGCUCGAAAGUGUGGGUAUCAAACAGGAUUAGAUACCCCAGUAGUC